ACCGUAUACGCCCUUCGGGGGAAAGAAUUUCGGUGAGGGAUCGGCCCGCGUUAGAUUAGUUAGUUGGUGGGGUAAUGGCCUACCAAGACUACGAUCUAUAGCUGGUUUGAGAGGAUGAUCAGCAACACUGGGACUGAGACACGGCCCAGACUCCUACGGGAGGCAGCAGUGGGGAAUCUUAGACAAUGGGGGCAACCCUGAUCUAGCGAUGCCGCGUGAGUGAUGAAGGCCUUAGGGUCGUAAAGCUCUUUCGCCUGUGAUGAUAAUGACAGUAGCAGGUAAAGAAACCCCGGCUAACUCCGUGCCAGCAGCCGCGGUAAUACGGAGGGGGUUAGCGUUGUUCGGAAUUACUGGGCGUAAAGCGCACGUAGGCGGAUUAGUCAGUCAGAGGUGAAAUCCCAGGGCUCAACCCUGGAACUGCCUUUGAUACUGCUAGUCUUGAGUUCGAGAGAGGUAAGUGGAAUUCCGAGUGUAGAGGUGAAAUUCGUAGAUAUUCGGAGGAACACCAGUGGCGAAGGCGGCUUACUGGCUCGAUACUGACGCUGAGGUGCGAAAGUGUGGGGAGCAAACAGGAUUAGAUACCCUGGUAGUCCACACCGUAAACGAUGAAUGCCAGUCGUCGGGUAGCAUGCUAUUC
rnacentral:rRNA from 1 species